CGCAGUGGCCUCGCUGAACGCCAUCUUCUCGAGGUGGGGCCUGCGGGCGUCCACGGCGUGGAACAUCAAUGGCGAGCCUUGCAGCGGUGCCGCCAUCGACAACACCGACAUAGAUAAUGAUCAUGAAUUCAAUCCUGCCAUUAAGUGCAUCUGCUCCUACAACGCCAGCACCAUCUGCCACAUCACCAGGCUGAAAGUAUAUAGACUAGAUGUGGUUGGUCAGAUUCCUGCGGAACUGCAAAAUCUAACUUACCUGACAAACCUGUAUGAACUAUUUCCACCAUGAAGCUUCAAAGCUAAUGGACGUCCACUUAAAGCGUUACACAAGCUCAUAAUCACAAGAUGCAGUUCCCCUUGUUAGUGUCUGCUGCAUGCCUGCAUGCCAUUAGCGGGCGAGAAAGGGAGUACAGCAGGCUUUUAUAGACUAUCUGUUAUAGUCUUACAACUAUAGGAAUUUAGCGCAGAAUUACUUGACUGGAUCUUUACCAACAUUUCUUGAAAAGCUGGCUCAGUUGCAGUAUCUACAUUUGGGAACCAAUGCAUUAACUGGAGUUUUACCGAGGGAGCUGGGUAACCUCGAGAAUCUCAUUUCGCUGUAAGAUAAUAUAUCUCUUGUUAUUGUGGCAACUCAAAUCAAAUUCAAAUAUAUUGUAGCCAUGUGGAGCUUUUCGGUCUGUUGGUUCAUUUUAUUUGUGAUG